CCCCUCUCGGGAUCGCACCUGGAGAGUUUCCACGACUCUACCAGUCUCGGCUAUAGGAGGGAGAGUCAAGCAGAGGUCUACCCGUUCCACUCCUAGCUUGGGUCGUGGCUAGCGAGUGAAAGCCAUCUCCUACAAGU